UACGUAGGGGGCAAGCGUUGUCCGGAUUUAUUGGGCGUAAAGAGCGUGUAGGCGGCCAGACAGGUCCGUUGUGAAAACUGGAGGCUUAACCUCCAGCUGUCGAUGGAAACCAUCUGGCUAGAGUCCGGAAGAGGAGAGUGGAAUUCCUGGUGUAGCGGUGAAAUGCGCAGAUAUCAGGAAGAACACCCGUGGCGAAGGCGGCUCUCUGGGACGGUACUGACGCUGAGACGCGAAAGCGUGGGGAGCGAACAGG
rnacentral:rRNA from 1 species